AUGCAAGUCGAACGAUGAAGUGGAGCUUGCUCCACGGAUUAGUGGCGAACGGGUGAGGAACACGUGAGAAACCUGCCUCGGAUUUUGGGAUAACAAAUGGAAACGUUUGCUAAUACCAAAUAACGUCGGAGAGUCACAUGGCUUUCUGACGAAAGGAAUUCCGAUUCGAGAGGGUCUCGCGGCCUAUCAGCUUGUUGGCGGGGUAAUGGCCCACCAAGGCAACGACGGGUAGCUGGUCUGAGAGGAUGGUCAGCCACACUGGGACUGAGACACGGCCCAGACUCCUACGGGAGGCAGCAGUGGGGAAUCUUGCGCAAUGGGCGAAAGCCUGACGCAGCAACGCCGCGUGCGGGAAGAAGGCUUUCGGGCUGUAAACCGCUUUCAGCAGGAACGAAAAUGACGGUACCUGCAGAAGAAGGAGCGGCCAACUAUGUGCCAGCAGCCGCGGUGAUACAUAGGCUUCAAGCGUUGUCCGGAUUUAUUGGGCGUAAAGAGUUCGUAGGCGGUCGAGUAAGUCGGGUGUGAAAAUUCUGGGCUCAACCCAGAGACGCCACCCGAUACUGCUUAACUUGAGUUCGAUAGGGGAGUGGGGAAUUCCUAGUGUAGCGGUGAAAUGCGCAGAUAUUAGGAGGAACACCGGUGGCGAAGGCGCCACUCUGGAUCGACACUGACGCUGAGGAACGAAAGCAUGGGUAGCAAACAGGAUUAGAUACCCUGGUAGUCCAUGCGGUAAACGGUGGGCACUA
rnacentral:rRNA from 1 species